rnacentral:sRNA from 1 species
CAUCAUCGUCUUCCCUAACUCUCGACGAAGUGAUAGCCGUCUGACAGGAAAUCAGAUGACAAACGGUUAGGACUGAGUGUGUUGGUUAUCUCCGACGAUCCACACUGCCGCUCGUUGGUUAUGGAAAUAAGCUACGGAAGCGGCCGGAGCUCCAGUCAUCUUCAUAGUCUCUAUGUCUCGUAAACCAGCGCCGUCACAAAUAUAUCACACAACUCUCUGAUUUGUUUUUCCGGCCAACUUCUGAUUUUAAUAUUUUUGUUUCGAUUUUAUAUUUAUAUUGCUAUUAUUAUUAUCAUCGUUUUGUGGCCAACUUCUGAUUUUAAUAUUUUUGUUUCGAUUUUAUAUUUAUAUUGCUAUUAUUAUUGUCAUGGUUUUGUGUCGUCGGAAAAACAGAAGAAAGAAGGAAGAAGAUAAAGAAAGUAAAAGGGUAAAAGAGUCUAAAAGAUGGUGAUGUUGCAUUUGUACAGUGACCAACAGUGACGUUA